CUGAAUAAUGGACAAACCCGUUGUGAAGCGGGGACGCAAAGCCUUGGAGACUUUGAAUAAAGUCAGUCCGGUUGCAAUA
rnacentral:ncRNA from 1 species